UACGUAGGGGGCAAGCGUUGUUCGGAAUUACUGGGCGUAAAGGGCGCGUAGGCGGCACAGCAAGUCGGGAGUGAAAGCCCGGGGCUUAACCCCGGGUCGGCAGUGGAUACGGGCAGGCUAGAGGUAGGUAGGGGAGAAUGGAAUUCCCGGUGUAGCGGUGAAAUGCGCAGAUAUCGGGAGGAACACCGGUGGCGAAGGCGGGUCUCUGGGCCGAAACUGACGCUGAGGAGCGAAAGCGUGGGGAGCAAACAGG
rnacentral:rRNA from 1 species